rnacentral:misc_RNA from 1 species
UGGCUCUCGCAUCGAUGAAGAACGCGGCGAAAUGCGAUAAGUAAUGUGAAUUGCAGAUUUCAGUGAAUCAUCGAAUCUUUGAACGCACCUUGCGCUCCUAGGUCUUCCGAGGAGCAUGCCUGUUUGAGUGCCCAGAAGUACUAUCAACCAACACCUUGUGUGGUGGUUGGACCUGGGGGUCUGCCGUGUCUCAUGGCUCCUCCUAAAAGUGUUAGCCUGCUGGUGAUGAACUGCUGUCGGCUUGAUAUCAAUGUCUAUGCUGCAGUUGUACAUGUGCCAUGGCUUCCAGUCGUCUUCGGACAAUGUAAUUUCUGACCUCGGGCCUCAAAUCAGGUAGGACUACCCGCUGA